ensembl:lncRNA
GCGAGUCCACCGUAGUUACACACACACACGCACUACCUAGCGUUAGCAACAAGACCCACAGCAGCAUCACAGAGUCUGUAAGGUUAACUCGGAGUAUUCACAGGUGCUGGUGUAGGAGUGCGCCGGCGGGGAAACGGAUCCGCAAUGCUGAACCCGACCAAUGGUGACCCACACUGAAAAAAAGGGACUGGCCAUCUCUUGGAUUUAUGUGAAGUAAGUCAAUAAGAUAGCAACGUUAAAUCUCGUGAAACCACGCGUGAUUUCAUCUCGCGGGCUUUGGAUUGUGGUUCAAAAAAGGCAUCCAUCUCAGUCAAGUCGAGCAGCCAACUCUACGUUUUUGGAGUCAGCUGAUGGAUUGUGGGUUCAAGGUGUUAUGAUAAAAUGCAGCAUUCCAGUGCAUCCCAACCAUGCCUUUACAGUCAAGGUUUCUGACGGAGCUGAGUUUCUCUCUGACAGUCUGCUGAAAGUGUUUGCAAAGUGAUCGGGGGAACAGUGCACAAAGCUAAAGGAUGUAGCUGCCAUGAUGACAGAUGACAUUAAUGCUCAAAGGGGGUCUCAUCAAAGUGCUCCGCAUCUGUGUGAAAGACAAUUGCAACAUCUUGGUGCAGGAGUUCAU